AAAUGGAAGAUUUUGUUCAUGGCUCAGAUUGAUCGCUGCCGGCAGGCCUAACACAUGAAAGUCGACCGGUAGCACAGAGAACUUGCUCCGGGGUGCCGAGCGGCGAACGGGUGGGCAAGGUUUGGGAAACUGCCUGAUGGAG
rnacentral:rRNA from 1 species